UGGGAUUUAGCUCAGUGAUUCAAGUGCUUGCCUGGUAAGCAAGAGGUCGUCAGUUCAAUCUCUGGUAGUCCCUC
rnacentral:tRNA from 1 species